rnacentral:rRNA from 1 species
GACAGAGGUCCCGAGCGUUAGGCGGAAUCACUGGGCUUAAAGCGUGUGUAGGCGGCGGCCUAAGUACCUUGUGAAAUCCCACGGCUCACCCGUGGAACUGCUCGGUAUACUGGGUCGCUUGAGCCACUUAGGGGUUACCGGAACAAAUGGUGGAGCGGUGAAAUGCGUAGAUAUCAUUUGGAACGCCAAUGGUGAAAACAGGUAGCUGGGAGUGUGCUGACGCUGAGACACGAAAGCCAGGGGAGCAAACGGG